CUUUUCUUUUUUUUUUAGUGUGAACAACUUUCCUACCAGAAAUUUCUUUCCGAUUUUCAAUCAUAGCACAUUUCUGAAAAGGGUGGUACUUUAAGAACGAGUCGUUUUUUGAUUUCCCCGGGAGUUUUCUAGUACAGGGGUAACCCAUACCAACAUUUUUGGUAUUUUUGGUAUCUGUUAAAAAGUCCAAUGUUUUUUUCUACAUUAGAUUCCACUAGUGUAGGUACACCUCAUAUUAUUUUCUAGAAAAGAGAAAAUGUAUUUUGUUUUUUCGUUGUUAUUCGAUUAGAAAUAAUUGCGGUGACCUAACAUUUUCACAUAAUACUAAUAUAUUACAUUUUCUAGACGUGGUAAAGUGUUCAAAAUAUAUUUUAUACAAGCUAUUUAUAACCGUUUCAAAUUGUCGAGUUUGUAUUGAUUUCAUUUGAUUUUACGUGACUAAGAUCUCUCUUUUUGUUAAAUUAUUAUUUGUGUCUUAUGUUGAAUUAAAAACAAAUUCUGUGGAUUAAAGAUUUUGAUUGCACUUUUAGCUUAUAUAUAUAUUCGUGUCCGUAUGAAAUUUGAAACCUAGAACCGCCUUUGAAAAAUAUGCCAAAUCAUAAACAUCACAACCAAAUCGGUGAUUUUAUUGCGUAAACCGUCGGGCACUCAACCCGUUUUCGGUCGUAUUCAGAUUUCGGGUUCACAUUCGAUGUUUUCGGGUGAAGUACAUACCAAUAAUAGAUGAUAAACUCACCAAAAAAACACUUUGCAAAUGGGGCAAAAAUUUAUAACGGUACCCAUAAGACUUACACGAGGAACAUCGAAUUACGAUGACGUUUGAUCGUUUGAACGACUACGUGUGAGGG